rnacentral:rRNA from 1 species
UACGUAGGUGGCGAGCGUUAUCCGGAAUGAUUGGGCGUAAAGGGUGCGUAGGCGGCCUGCUAAGUCUGGAGUGAAAGGUACCGGCUCAACCGGUACAGGCUCUGGAAACUGGCGGGCUAGAGAGCAGGAGAGGGCGGUGGAACUCCAUGUGUAGCGGUAAAAUGCGUAGAUAUAUGGAAGAACACCAGUGGCGAAGGCGGAUUGCUGGACAGUAACUGACGCUGAGGCGCGAAAGCGUGGGGAGCAAACAGG